ensembl:lncRNA
GGAGGGGGCAGGUAGCCUAGUGGUUAGAGUGGAGGGGCAGCAGGUAGCCUAGUGGUUAGAGUGGAGGGGUGGCAGGUAGCCUAGUGGUUAGAGUGGAGGGGUGCAGGUAGCCUAGUGGUUAGAGAGGAGGGAUGGCAGGUAGCCUCAUGGUUAGAGAGGAGGGGUGGCAGGUAGCCUAGUGGUUAGAGUGGAGGGAGGCAGGCAGCCUUGUGGUUAGAGUGGAGGGGCGGCAGGUAGCCUAGUGGUUAGAGUGGCGGGGCGGCAGGUAGCCUAGUGGUUAGAGUGGAGGGGUGGCAGGUAGUCUAGUGGUUAGAGCGGAGGGGAGGCAGGUAGCCUAGUGGUUAGAGUGGAGGGGCGGCAGGUAGCCUAGUGGUUAGAGUGGAGGGGCGGCAGGUAGCCUAGUGGUUAGAGUGGAGGGGAGGCAGGGAGCCUAGUGGUUAGAGCGGAGGGGAGGCAGGUAGCCUAGUGGUUAGAGUGGAGGGGCGGCAGGUAGCCUAGUGGUUAGAGUGGAGGGGCGGCAGGUAGCCUAGUGGUUAGAGUGGAGGGGAGGCAGGGAGCCUAGUGGUUAGAGUGGAGGGGCGGCAGGUAGCCUAGUGGUUAGAGUGGCGGGGCGGCAGGUAGCCUAGUGGUUAGAGUGGAGGGGCGGCAGGUAGCCUAGUGGUUAGAGUGGAGGGGCGGCAGGUAGCCUAGUGGUUAGAGUGGAGGGGCGGCAGGUAGCCUAGUGGUUAGAGUGGAGGGGCGGCAGGUAGCCUAGUGGUUAGAGUGGAGGGGCGGCAGGUAGCCUAGUGGUUAGAGUGGAGGGGCGGCAG